UGGCGGACGGGUGAGUAACGCGUGGGCAACCUGCCUUACACGAGGGGGAUAACACUUAGAAAUAGGUGCUAAAACCGCAUAAGCGCACAGCUUCGCAUGAAGCGGUGUGAAAAACUCCGGUGGUGUAAGAUGGACCCGCGUCUGAUUAGCUUGUUGGCGGGGUAACGGCCCACCAAGGCGACGAUCAGUAGCCGGCCUGAGAGGGCGGACGGCCACAUUGGGACUGAGACACGGCCCAAACUCCUACGGGAGGCAGCAG
rnacentral:rRNA from 1 species